UUUUCUUUUUCUCCUCAUAAUUUUUUGUUUUCUAAAAACAUGGCUUUUAAUCAGCCAGGGACAAAGUAACUCCUUGUUUAUCCCAGGUUGGCUUUUGGUCUGUGCCCAUGCCUGGUCCAUGCCUCAGACACAUGG